AACGUAGGUUCCGAGCGUUAUCCGGAUUUACUGGGCGUAAAGCGCGUUCAGGCGGUUUGGCAAGUCGGGCAUGAAAUCUCUCGGCUCAACCGGGAGAGGUUGUCCGAUACUGCUGGACUUGAGGGCUGUAGAGGGUGGUGGAAUUCCGGGUGUAGUGGUGAAAUGCGUAGAUAUCCGGAGGAACACCAGUGGCGAAAGCGGCCACCUGGACUGUACCUGACGCUGAGACGCGAAAGCGUGGGGAGCGAACGGG
rnacentral:rRNA from 1 species